rnacentral:rRNA from 1 species
GAUGAACGCUGGCGGCGUGCUUAACACAUGCAAGUCGAACGAUGAUCCGGUGCUUGCACCGGGGAUUAGUGGCGAACGGGUGAGUAACACGUGAGUAACCUGCCCUUGACUCUGGGAUAAGCCUGGGAAACUGGGUCUAAUACCGGAUAUGACUCCUCAUCGCAUGGUGGGGGGUGGAAAGCUUUUGUGGUUUUGGAUGGACUCGCGGCCUAUCAGCUUGUUGGUGAGGUAAUGGCUCACCAAGGCGACGACGGGUAGCCGGCCUGAGAGGGUGACCGGCCACACUGGGACUGAGACACGGCCCAGACUCCUGCGGGAGGCAGCAGUGGGGAAUAUUGCACAAUGGGCGAAAGCCUGAUGCAGCGACGCCGCGUGAGGGAUGACGGCCUUCGGGUUGUAAACCUCUUUCAGUAGGGAAGAAGCGAAAGUGACGGUACCUGCAGAAGAAGCGCCGGCUAACUACGUGC